rnacentral:lncRNA from 1 species
AUGCUCUCAGGACACAUGCCUGGGGGUGCCCAUGGGAUCCUCUCGCUGCUGACCGUGGUCUUCGUCCUCCCAGAGGUGUCCGGACUCCAGUGUUAUGGCUGCAACAUUAUCGUUGGCACCAAAAACGUGGACAUGGGAUGCUCCAACCCAGAGGUGAUCACCUGCUCCCACUCCCACCAGGGCUUCAAACACCGGUUCUGCAUUAAGACAGAGAGUGUGGUCCUGGGCAUCCUGCUGACCAGCGGCUGUGCCACCUCCCGUCACUGCCAGCAGCAGGAGCUGCCGGGGGUCCGCAUCCACUGCUGCGACACAGACCUCUGCAACGGCUCCCCCCGAGCCCCCCGGCCGCCCCCUGGCCUCGCUAGUGGCCACCUCCUGCUGCCCUGCGUCCUCGCUGCGCUGCUCCUCUCCUGAGCCCCCCAGGACUGGGGUGGGGGGGGAAAAGGGACCCUCAGGGGGGAGGCUGGGACAGGGCUGUCCCCACCCCUGCUCUUACAGGUGGGCAGGACGCCCUCCUCUCCCCUCUCCUCAAUAAAAGGUGCCCUGGAAAGGUUUCA